GCCAGCCAAGUGUGAUUGCAUGUGUCUGCAGGCUCAGCUACUCGGGAGGCUGAGGCGGGAGCAUCACUUGAGUUCAGGAGCUCUGAUUGUUGAGUUAUGCCUCUCAGGUGUCCACACUAAGUUCAGUGUCAACCCAGUGACCUCCUGGGAGGGGUACCAGCUUAAGUUAGAAAUGGAGCGGGUCAGAAUUCCUAUGCUGAUCAGUAGUGGGAUUGCGCCUGUGAAUUCCACUCCCGACUAGGCAACAUUGUGAGACGCUGUCUUU
ensembl:misc_RNA Metazoa_SRP Metazoan signal recognition particle RNA